AUCGAACGCUGGCGGCAGGCCUAAUACAUGCAAGUCGAGCGAGCGGCGGACGGGUGAGUAAUGUCUGGGAAACUGCCUGAUGGCGGGGGAUAACUACUGGAAACGGUAGCUAAUACCGCAUACCAUCAGCUGUGCCCAGAGGGGAUUAGCUAGUGGGUGGGGUAACGGCUCACCAAGGCGACGAUCCCUUGCCGGACUGAGAGGAUGACCGGCCACACUGGAACUGAGACACGGCCCAGACUCCUACGGGAGGCAGCAGUAGGGAAUAUUGCGCAAUGGGCGAAAGCCUGAUGCAGCCAUGCCGCGUGAGUGAAGAAGGCCUUCGGGUUGUAAAGCACUUUCGUCGGGGAGGCGUUACCCACAGAGGAAGCACCGGCUAACUCCGUGCCAGCAGCCGCGGUAAUAC
rnacentral:rRNA from 1 species